rnacentral:rRNA from 1 species
ACACUGUUCAUGGGUUACCGCGGCUGCUGGCACGGAGUUAGCCGGUGCUUCUUCUGUGAGUGAUGUCCUUCCUGCCGGUUAUUGACCCGCAGGCCUUCUUCCUCACUGAAAGUGCUUUACAACCCGAAGGCCUUCUUCACACACGCGGCAUGGCUGGAUCAGGGUUGCCCCCAUUGUCCAAUAUUCCCCACUGCUGCCUCCCGUAGGAGUCUGGGCCGUGUCUCAGUCCCAGUGUGGCUGAUCAUCCUCUCAGACCAGCUACGGAUCGUCGCCUUGGUGAGCCGUUACCUCACAACCAGCUAAUCCGACAUAGGCUCAUCCGAUAGCGCGAGGCCCGAAGGUCCCCCGCUUUCCACCGUAGGGCGUAUGCGGUAUUAGCCUGGGUUUCCCCAGGUUAUCCCCCACUACCGGGCAGAUUCCUAUGCAUUACUCACCCGUCCGCCGCUCGCCACCAGGGAGCAAGCUCCCCGUGCUGCCGAUCGACUUGCAUGUGUUAGGCCUGCCGCCAGCGUUCAAUC